rnacentral:misc_RNA from 1 species
CAAGAAUCGAGGCUGACGGUGCCUACUCCCUAGGCUCCGUCCAGUCCCGCUCUCUACCUUGCCUACCGCACCGUUUGUUGCUUCCUGGCGGCGUCCCGUCGCCAGGGCCUUUUGAAAGCCAAGUAUAAGCAUUGAAACUUCUGACAUACACUAAAUCGUA